rnacentral:rRNA from 1 species
AAACCAACAGGGAUUGCCUUAGUAGCGGCGAGUGAAGCGGCAAGAGCUCAAAUUUGAAAUCUGGUAUCUUCGAUGCCCGAGUUGUAAUUUGAAGAAAACAAUCUUGGAAUUGGUCCUUGUCUAUGUUCCUUGGAACAGGACGUCACAGAGGGUGAGAAUCCCGUGCGACAAGGAAUUCUUUUCUUUAUAAGAUGUUUUCGAAGAGUCGAGUUGUUUGGGAAUGCAGCUCUAAGUGGGUGGUAAAUUCCAUCUAAAGCUAAAUAUUGGCGAGAGACCGAUAGCGAACAAGUACUGUGAAGGAAAGAUGAAAAGAACUUUGAAAAGAGAGUGAAAAAGUACGUGAAAUUGUUGAAAGGGAAGGGUAUUCGAUCAGACUGGUAUUUAGUUAUCUUUGCUCCUUGUGGGUGAUGAUCUAACUUUUUACUGGGCCAACAUCAGUUUUGGUGGCAAGAUAAUCGCAGUUGAAUGUGGCUCUUUCGGGAGUGUUAUAGCUUCUGUUGAUGUUGCCUACCGGGACUGAGGUCUGCGGCUUUGCCUAGGAUGUUGGCGUAAUG